rnacentral:sRNA from 1 species
GACUUGGAGUCGGCUCUGCCUUCUGAAGUGUGUUAUCAGUAGCUGAGUCCGAUGCUUCCCACAUAGAGGAGGACCGCUCCUCAGUCAAGGGUAUACAAGUAGCUGCGCUCCCCUGCUAGAACCUCCAAACAAACUCGCAAGGAUUAUACUUGAAAUUUUCGGUGUUCUGAGAUUUUCUCUUCUGGAAGGGUUAUGAGUAUUUUCUUCCCCACAGA